UACGUAGGGGGCGAGCGUUGUCCGGAUUCACUGGGUGUAAAGGGCGCGUAGGCGGGUUUGUAAGUCAGGGGUGAAAUCUCACGGCUUAACUGUGAAACUGCCUCUGAUACUGCAAAUCUUGAGUUCGGAAGAGAGUAGCGGAAUUCCAGGUGUAGUGGUGAAAUACGUAGAUAUCUGGAAGAACACCAGUGGCGAAGGCGGCUACUUGGUCCGUAACUGACGCUGAGGCGCGAAAGCGUGGGGAGCAAACAGG
rnacentral:rRNA from 1 species